rnacentral:rRNA from 1 species
UAAACUGAGAGUUUGAUCCUGGCUCAGGACGAACGCUGGCGGCGUGCCUAACACAUGCAAGUCGAGCGG